AAACCGUGUACGUACAAGCAGUGGGAGCACGCUUAGGCGUGUGACUGCGUACCUUUUGUAUAAUGGGUCAGCGACUUAUAUUCUGUAGCAAGGUUAACCGAAUAGGGGAGCCGAAGGGAAACCGAGUCUUAACUGGGCGUUAAGUUGCAGGGUAUAGACCCGAAACCCGGUGAUCUAGCCAUGGGCAGGUUGAAGGUUGGGUAACACUAACUGGAGGACCGAACCGACUAAUGUUGAAAAAUUAGCGGAUGACUUGUGGCUGGGGGUGAAAGGCCAAUCAAACCGGGAGAUAGCUGGUUCUCCCCGAAAGCUAUUUAGGUAGCGCCUCGUGAAUUCAUCUCCGGGGGUAGAGCACUGUUUCGGCAAGGGGGUCAUCCCGACUUACCAACCCGAUGCAAACUGCGAAUACCGGAGAAUGUUAUCACGGGAGACACACGGCGGGUGCUAACGUCCGUCGUGAAGAGGGAAACAACCCAGACCGCCAGCUAAGGUCCCAAAGUCAUGGUUAAGUGGGAAACGAUGUGGGAAGGCCCAGACAGCCAGGAUGUUGGCUUAGAAGCAGCCAUCAUUUAAAGAAAGCGUAAUAGCUCACUGGUCGAGUCGGCCUGCGCGGAAGAUGUAACGGGGCUAAACCAUGCACCGAAGCUGCGGCAGCGACGCUUAUGCGUUGUUGGGUAGGGGAGCGUUCUGUAAGCCUGUGAAGGUGUGCUGUGAGGUAUGCUGGAGGUAUCAGAAGUGCGAAUGCUGACAUAAGUAACGAUAAAGCGGGUGAAAAGCCCGCUCGCCGGAAGACCAAGGGUUCCUGUCCAACGUUAAUCGGGGCAGGGUGAGUCGACCCCUAAGGCGAGGCCGAAAGGCGUAGUCGAUGGGAAACAGGUUAAUAUUCCUGUACUUGGUGUUACUGCGAAGGGGGGACGGAGAAGGCUAUGUUGGCCGGGCGACGGUUGUCCCGGUUUAAGCGUGUAGGCUGGUUUUCCAGGCAAAUCCGGAAAAUCAAGGCCGAGGCGUGAUGACGAGGCACUACGGUGCUGAAGCAACAAAUGCCCUGCUUCCAGGAAAAGCCUCUAAGCAUCAGGUAACAUCAAAUCGUACCCCAAACCGACACAGGUGGUCAGGUAGAGAAUACCAAGGCGCUUGAGAGAACUCGGGUGAAGGAACUAGGCAAAAUGGUGCCGUAACUUCGGGAGAAGGCACGCUGAUACGUAGGUGAAGCGACUUGCUCGUGGAGCUGAAAUCAGUCGAAGAUACCAGCUGGCUGCAACUGUUUAUUAAAAACACAGCACUGUGCAAACACGAAAGUGGACGUAUACGGUGUGACGCCUGCCCGGUGCCGGAAGGUUAAUUGAUGGGGUUAGCGCAAGCGAAGCUCUUGAUCGAAGCCCCGGUAAACGGCGGCCGUAACUAUAACGGUCCUAAGGUAGCGAAAUUCCUUGUCGGGUAAGUUCCGACCUGCACGAAUGGCGUAAUGAUGGCCAGGCUGUCUCCACCCGAGACUCAGUGAAAUUGAACUCGCUGUGAAGAUGCAGUGUACCCGCGGCAAGACGGAAAGACCCCGUGAACCUUUACUAUAGCUUGACACUGAACAUUGAGCCUUGAUGUGUAGGAUAGGUGGGAGGCUUUGAAGUGUGGACGCCAGUCUGCAUGGAGCCGACCUUGAAAUACCACCCUUUAAUGUUUGAUGUUCUAACGUGGACCCGUGAUCCGGGUUGCGGACAGUGUCUGGUGGGUAGUUUGACUGGGGCGGUCUCCUCCUAAAGAGUAACGGAGGAGCACGAAGGUUGGCUAAUCCUGGUCGGACAUCAGGAGGUUAGUGCAAUGGCAUAAGCCAGCUUGACUGCGAGCGUGACGGCGCGAGCAGGUGCGAAAGCAGGUCAUAGUGAUCCGGUGGUUCUGAAUGGAAGGGCCAUCGCUCAACGGAUAAAAGGUACUCCGGGGAUAACAGGCUGAUACCGCCCAAGAGUUCAUAUCGACGGCGGUGUUUGGCACCUCGAUGUCGGCUCAUCACAUCCUGGGGCUGAAGUAGGUCCCAAGGGUAUGGCUGUUCGCCAUUUAAAGUGGUACGCGAGCUGGGUUUAGAACGUCGUGAGACAGUUCGGUCCCUAUCUGCCGUGGGCGCUGGAGAACUGAGGGGGGCUGCUCCUAGUACGAGAGGACCGGAGUGGACGCAUCACUGGUGUUCGGGUUGUCAUGCCAAUGGCACUGCCCGGUAGCUAAAUGCGGAAGAGAUAAGUGCUGAAAGCAUCUAAGCACGAAACUUGCCCCGAGAUGAGUUCUCCCUGACCCUUUAAGGGUCCUGAAG
rnacentral:rRNA from 1 species